rnacentral:rRNA from 1 species
AGUGCUUGCACUUUGGCAGACUGAGUGGCGGACGGGUGAGUAACGCGUGGGUAACCUGCCUUAUACAGGGGGAUAACAGUUGGAAACGACUGCUAAUACCGCAUAAGCGCACGGGAUCGCAUGAUCCAGUGUGAAAACUCCGGUGGUACAGGAUGGACCCGCGUCUGAUUAGCUGGUUGGUGAGGUAACGGCCCACCAAGGCAACGAUCAGUAGCCGGCCUGAGAGGGUGAACGGCCACAUUGGGACUGAGACACGGCCCAGACUCC